rnacentral:miRNA from 1 species
GGUGAGUUCUCGGUACCUCGGCGACAAGAAAGUGGGCCCAGGAACAAGGUCUCACAGUCCGA